GAGUAUUUUAAUGUAUUUUUAUCUGUAAAUAACAAUUAGAACUUCCUUAAAGCUAUAUGAGAUCGAAUAGACUAUCCAUACCAAAUUUUUAUUCCAGGUUUAAUGUUACAUAUUUGGAUACAUCCAGGUGUAGCUGUGGGCCUCUACAAGAACAUUCCAUACAGUAAUACAGAUAAUUCUAUAUAUUUUUAUCUGCAAAUAACUAUUGAAAGGACUUCAGAGCUAUAUAAGAAAUGGAUAAAUUCUUUUUCUUUUAAGGCUAAUUUCUCUUGAAGGACAGAUUGGAUAGAAUUAUCGCCACUUUCCGUUUUUUUUUCACGGUUAUUUUUUAUCAUAUCCACAUCACUUUCUUCAGUUCCAGAAACUAGUUUCGAAACUGGAGGAAAUUUGAAACUGAAGAAAAAUUUCUCAAAACGAUUGACAGCCAGCGCGCCAGAGUAAUUUAUUCAGAUAUAGAACAUUAGUCUUGAAAUAAAAAUCCAAUCUGGAUAGUCCACUUAGUAUCACAUAUUUGUUAAACACUCUUGAUUGUAAUUUGCAAAUAAAAAUAUAUAAAAGGAAUCUUGAUGUAAGACUGGAUAUUUGUAUAGAGGCACAUAUAAUAGGUAAGCUUGGGUAUAUCCAUUUACAUAACAUUAGACCAGACAUAAAAAUCCAAUUUGUAUAGUCCAUUAUAUUUCAUAGAGGUUUGAGCCCACAGAUACACCUAUGGAUAUCCUCAUGAAUUUCAUGUGACGGGAUAAAAAUUAAAUAUGGAUAAUCAUCAAUAUUACAUAAUUCUGAGGCACUCUUAAACGUAAUUUAUAAAUAAAAACAUCAAAAUUAUUUCUAUUUUAAAACUGGAUUCUCCGAUAAAAACUAACUUCUACUGUAGAAUUUCA